AAAUUGAAGAGUUUGAUCAUGGCUCAGAUUGAACGCUGGCGGCAGGCCUAACACAUGCAAGUCGAACGGUAGCACAGAGAGCUUGCUCUCGGGUGACGAGUGGCGGACGGGUGAGUAAUGUCUGGGAAACUGCCCGAUGGAGGGGGAUAACUACUGGAAACGGUAGCUAAUACCGCAUAACGUCGCAAGACCAAAGUGGGGGACCUUCGGGCCUCACACCAUCGGAUGUGCCCAGAUGGGAUUAGCUAGUAGGUGGGGUAACGGCUCACCUAGGCGACGAUCCCUAGCUGGUCUGAGAGGAUGACCAGCCACACUGGAACUGAGACACGGUCCAGACUCCUACGGGAGGCAGCAGUGGGGAAUAUUGCACAAUGGGCGCAAGCCUGAUGCAGCCAUGCCGCGUGUAUGAAGAAGGCCUUCGGGUUGUAAAGUACUUUCAGCGAGGAGGAAGGCGUUGUGGUUAAUAACCACAGCGAUUGACGUUACUCGCAGAAGAAGCACCGGCUAACUCCGUGCCAGCAGCCGCGGUAAUACGGAGGGUGCAAGCGUUAAUCGGAAUUACUGGGCGUAAAGCGCACGCAGGCGGUUUGUUAAGUCAGAUGUGAAAUCCCCGGGCUCAACCUGGGAACUGCAUUUGAAACUGGCAAGCUUGAGUCUCGUAGAGGGGGGUAGAAUUCCAGGUGUAGCGGUGAAAUGCGUAGAGAUCUGGAGGAAUACCGGUGGCGAAGGCGGCCCCCUGGACAAAGACUGACGCUCAGGUGCGAAAGCGUGGGGAGCAAACAGGAUUAGAUACCCUGGUAGUCCACGCCGUAAACGAUGUCUACUUGGAGGUUGUGCCCUUGAGGCGUGGCUUCCGGAGCUAACGCGUUAAGUAGACCGCCUGGGGAGUACGGCCGCAAGGUUAAAACUCAAAUGAAUUGACGGGGGCCCGCACAAGCGGUGGAGCAUGUGGUUUAAUUCGAUGCAACGCGAAGAACCUUACCUGGUCUUGACAUCCACGGAAGUUUUCAGAGAUGAGAAUGUGCCUUCGGGAACCGUGAGACAGGUGCUG
rnacentral:rRNA from 2 species